GCGGAAGGAAAGCAGCAUUGCAGCCUGUCCUGGAGUCUCGUGCACACGUGCAAACACUCAGGUGUGCUCACCACUGCAGGAACUGCUGCAAGGUUUGCAGACCAGAGCUC
ensembl:miRNA gga-mir-6671 gga-mir-6671